CCUGCACCGUUGGCAAGCACAGUUUUGGACAGAUUACUCUGCAGUCUCCCUGGGCCGCUGUGGGUGGAGUCUCAGUCCUGGGACUGACAGGGUUCAGGUGUGAUGGGUGCUCAGUGAUUCUGGAGGGACGUGGUGACUGUUGACAACACAACUUCUCUGGACCCAAGACUCUACACUCUUCAGAGUAGGGGUGAAAGCACGUCAGCGACCAGACAAGGAGUCAUGAAGAGACAGCGGGGAGCCCUACUGGGGCUUCUGUGGAUGCAGGUUUGCUGGGUGAGAGGGAUGGACGUGGAGCAGACACCUGCAGCCCUGAGCCUCCAGGAGGGAGCCAGCUCUACCCUGAGGUGCAAUUUUUCCAGCUCGGUGAACAACGUGCAGUGGUUCCGACAGAACCCCGGGGGCGGCGGCCUCACCCGGCUGUUUUACAUAGUUUCAGGGAUGAAGCAGGAUGGGAGGUUGAACUGCACGGUGAACACUAAGGACCGGCACAGCAGCCUGCACAUCAGGGCCUCCCAGCAGGAAGACUCAGCCACCUAUCUGUGUGCUGUGGAGGCACAGUGCUCCCUGCUGCUCUGCAGCCUGUCCCCAAACUGCAGCUGGGCUCCCAGCCCAGGCUCCUCCACCAGGAAGCCUUCCUUGUGCAGCCGCAUUUGCACAGCGUGCUUGGGACCAUCUGGGGCUUUGCAGUCUCAAAGCUGGUGGCGGUAAACCUUGUCAAUAAAUUGUUUCAAAAUUAAAGUGUGUAUGUGCACAUUGCAUAAAGCAUAUUGGAGGGAUGUUAGUUCUUAAAAUGUUUAAAAUCUCUGAUUUUGGAACUUGCUGCCACAUGGGAAAGCAAAGAUCCGUAGGCUUUGAAAUAGAAAUUUAAGAUAAAGAUAAGAGCUUCAAUGGAAAAGAAUAAUAUUUUCAUGUGAAGUUUUAACUGAUUCAAUAUCUGAUUAUUAACUCAGAAGAUAAUCUGAAAUUAAAAUUUCUCAUAACUUAAGACAUGGUAAGAUAUAUAGACCAGCAUUCUGAAAGCUAAUGUGUUAGACAUAAAAAUAUAACAUAAGACUAUUGGGACUGAGAGGACCCAGACAGGGUUAGAACAUUUUGUUGAAUUAUUGCUGCUUAUUGGAUUUUUGAAAGGAGUUAGUAAUGUUUUAUUUUGAAAUUCAGGUUUUAAAGCUGACUUUACAUUUGCUGUUCAGACUCCUGUCAUACAAACAACUCCUUGGUAAAUUAUCACAUUCCUAUCAUAGAUUAGUUUUCAACUCUUGUCUUUCCAAUACUGUAGAUGUUAUUUUUGACUUGUUAUAAAGGAGUGCAUGUUAAAUAUAGAAAAUAUGUAAUAACCAAAGUUUGAAAUUGAUAAUUGUGUACCCAGCUAAUUUAUUAUUAAUGUUUGUUUUGCUCUCUUAAAUUCUAAUAUAACUUGGAUUCUGAUUUUUUUCACUCAAUGUUAUAUCCUGAAUUGAGUCUUGUCCUCUAACACCUGCUUUUAAAUAGCUCAGUGAGAGAUUUUCAGAAGUCACUAUAUUUUUAACUUUCUUCUAUCUUUUGCAAAAUUUGGCAGUCCUCUUUCUAUGUGUUCUGAUUAUUUUCUUAAAAAAUUUUUUUUUAAUGUUUAUUUAUUUUUGAGAGAGAGACAGAACAUAAGUGGGGGAGGAGCAGAGAGAGAGGGAGACACAGAAUCCAAAGCAGGCUCCAGGCUCUGAGCUGUCAGCACAGAGCCCGAUGUAGGGCUCAAGCCCACUAACUGUGAGAUCAUGACCUGAGCCGAAGUCAGACGCUUAACCAACUGAGCCACCCAGGAACCCCUGAUUAUUUUCUUUUUGAGAUAAUGUGACCUGUGAUUUCCUUGAGAGUCUAGUGAUGGUAUGUAUUUUAUGUGUAUUUGAGGGAAAUUAAAAGUAGAGGUGAUUUAUUCAAGAAUAUGACUGAGAAUUAGACUCUUUUCAAAAUUGUGUUAGUACGUUUUCACAUCUACACUCAUAUAAUUUAGAAGGGAAAGUUGUAUCUUUCAAUCAUUAUUAUAUAGCACAAACUUGUUUACAUAGUUGAUCAUCAGUAGAUGUUUAUUAAAGAAAGGAAAGGUGAAUUCUGCUAUGUAUUUAGAAUUUUUUUAAGCUUGCGAGUAAAUUAAAUGUAUAAGUUGACGUGUGAAGAAUAAACACUUAACAGCC